UUCCGUAGGUGAACCUGCGGAGGGAUCAUUACCGAGUUUACAACUCCCAAACCCCUGUGAACAUACCUAUACGUUGCCUCGGCGGAUCAGCCCGCGCCCCGUAAAAAGGGACGGCCCGCCCGAGGACCCCUAAACUCUGUUUUUAGUGGAACUUCUGAGUAAAACAAACAAAUAAAUCAAAACUUUCAACAACGGAUCUCUUGGUUCUGGCAUCGAUGAAGAACGCAGCAAAAUGCGAUAAGUAAUGUGAAUUGCAGAAUUCAGUGAAUCAUCGAAUCUUUGAACGCACAUUGCGCCCGCCAGUAUUCUGGCGGGCAUGCCUGUUCGAGCGUCAUUUCAACCCUCAAGCUCAGCUUGGUGUUGGGACUCGCGGUAACCCGCGUUCCCCAAAUCGAUUGGCGGUCACGUCGAGCUUCCAUAGCGUAGUAAUCAUACACCUCGUUACUGGUAAUCGUCGCGGCCACGCCGUAAAACCCCAACUUCUGAAUGUUGACCUCGGAUCAGGUAGGAAUACCCGCUGAACUUAAGCAUAUCAAUA
rnacentral:rRNA from 2 species